UACGGAGGGUGCAAGCGUUAUCCGGAUUCACUGGGUUUAAAGGGUGCGUAGGUGGGCAGUUAAGUCAGUGGUGAAAUCUCCGGGCUCAACCCCGGAAACUGCCAAUUGAUACUAUCUGUCUUGAAUAUCGUGGAGGUAAGCGGAAUAUGUCAUGUAGCGGUGAAAUGCUUAGAUAUGACAUAGAACACCAAUUGCGAAGGCAGCUUACUACCCGAAUAUUGACACUGAGGCACGAAAGCGUGGGGAUCAAACAGGAUUGAGACUACCGUGUCAGUCCAAGACCAGUCUCUCG
rnacentral:rRNA from 1 species